rnacentral:rRNA from 1 species
UGGUCAAUGGACGAGAGUCUGAACCAGCCAAGUCGCGUGAGGGAAGACUGCCCUAUGGGUUGUAAACCUCUUUUAUAAGGGAAGAAUAAGUUCUACGUGUAGAAUGAUGCCUGUACCUUAUGAAUAAGCAUCGGCUAACUCCGUGCCAGCAGCCGCGGUAAUACGGAGGAUGCGAGCGUUAUCCGGAUUUAUUGGGUUUAAAGGGUGCGUAGGCGGUUUAUUAAGUUAGUGGUUAAAUAUUUGAGCUAAACUCAAUUGUGCCAUUAAUACUGGUAAACUGGAGUACAGACGAGGUAGGCGGAAUAAGUUAAGUAGCGGUGAAAUGCAUAGAUAUAACUUAGAACUCCGAUAGCGAAGGCAGCUUACCAGACUGUAACUGACGCUGAUGCACGAGAGCGUGGGUAGCAAACAGGAUUAGAUACCCUGGUAGUCCACGCCGUAAACGAUGCUCACUGGUUCUGUGCGAUAUAUUGUACGGGAUUAAGCGAAAGUAUUAAGUGAGCCACCUGGGGAGUACGUCGGCAACGAUGAAACUCAAAGGAAUUGACGGGGGCCCGCACAAGCGGAGGAACAUGUGGUUUAAUUCGAUGAUACGCGAGGAACCUUACCUGGGUUUAAAUGGGAAAUGUCGUAUUUGGAAACAGAUAUUCUCUUCGGAGCGUUUUUCAAGGUGCUGCAUGGUUGUCGUCAGCUCGUGCCGUGAGGUGUCGGGUUAAGUCCCAUAACGAGCGCAACCCUUACCGUUAGUUGCUAGCAUGUAAUGAUGAGCACUCUAACGGGACUGCCACCGUAAGGUGAGAGGAAGGCGGGGAUGACGUCAAAUCAGCACGGCCCUUACACCCAGGGCUACACACGUGUUACAAUGGCCGGUACAGAGGGCCGCUACCAGGUGACUGGAUGCCAAUCUCAAAAGCCGGUCGUAGUUCGGAUUGGAGUCUGCAACCCGACUCCAUGAAGUUGGAUUCGCUAGUAAUCGCGCAUCAGCCAUGGCGCGGUGAAUACGUUCCCGGGCCUUGUACACACCGCCCGUCAAGCCAUGGAAGCCGGGGGUGCCUGAAGUCCGUAACCGCGAGGAUCGGCCUAGGGCAAAACUGGUAACUGGGGCUAAGUCGUAACAAGGUAGCCGUA